GCCACAUCGGGGCGGAGCAGCCAGCGGCCGACGGCAGAGAAAAACGGCGGUGGCCGGAAGAAGAAGAAAACAACAGGUAAGCGUGUUUGCUGGUUUUGGACAAGGUACACCUCCUCUGCCAGGGCCUUUAUUUGUCCCGUCUUCGCGUUUCGGUGAUUGUACACUAGCUGUUAUAAUUGGCUUUGAUGUCCAGCGUUUUUCCGUUCCAUUUGUUGAUCAUGCUGGGAGCCUUCUGCUACACGCAGCGGCAGGCAGGCUAAGGAGGUCCGGCCUCAUCUUCUCCGUCAGAGAGGUUUCGGUAAGUCUCCUGAUUCUUGUGGCUCCCUCUCCCCUGUAGGCACAUAGAAAAGCAACAGCAAUGGGGCGUGGACAGGAGCAGCGGCACAUAAAAAAGCACUAGCAACGGGGAGAGCAUGGGGAGCAGCGGCACAUAAAAAAGCACUAGCAACGGGGAGAGCAUGGGGAGCAGCGGCAGAGGAAUAUUCUUGAUGUGGAGAUGCACCGCCUUGUGGUGUUCAUCAUCUGAUAUCUGAUGAACACAGAAGAGUUGGCUUCCAGAAUUAUGAAAGAGCAGGUCGCUGCAGAUGUUGUGUGAGGACAUGUUGAAGCCAGCCUCUGGCCCAUGGCAGUGCGGCGCUAGAUCCUUAGGUCUUGCUGCCGUUCAUAUGCUUAUGCGUGGACGCAAAGCGCGUACCCGUCGGUGGGGUGUGCUGCCCACUUCCUCGCCUCCAGCGUCCGCCAGCACCACCGCGCUCUUGGAAAUGUGGGCGCGCAUUCUCCAUCGCUGCAUUGGAGCCGUGGUCUUGGGGAUGUACAUGGUGUCUUGCUCAUGUAUGCAGCAGGAGCAGCAAGCCUAUGGGUCUUGUGUGUCGAAGACAGGGUAAUUCUUUGGUUCUUGGGCAGCGAAGUCAUAUUGGUUCUGUUCAGUAUGUUGUUACUGCCCGUGAUGUUGAUGCACAACUUGGUCUUUGGGAAUUAGGUGAUGAAUGGCAAUUUACUCUGUCUCGGAAGGCGCCUCCAGUUCCUCAAUGGCGUCCCCUGCUAUCCAGGGCCAUGUGCACUUAGUCAGUGAUCUGACGUGGCCACGCGCCCCCCUGGUCGUUCCAGGUGCCGGAACUUUGCACCGUAGGAUGUGGGAACAGUUAUUGGACCCAGUCGCAUCUAUUAUUUUCUCCAUAAUGUUUGCUGACAGAGGAUUAUGGGAUGCUGAUUAAGCCGAGUUACAAACUAUAUCUGAAACCAGCAAGUUCAGAUCAGCCAUAUCUGUGGAAUUGAUUCAUUUAGUGGAAGGUCUCAGCCGCUCAGUCGUCUUUGGACAGAGAAUGAAAAAAUUACGCAAGGAAAAGACGAGCAAACUCAGCACAAAUUCCAGUAAAUAUGCAGAAUUAAGGGAUGAGAUAGGUACAAGUGAACAAAAAACCUGUCGGUUUCUCUUCCUCACUCCACACAGACACAGCGGGUGGACCUGCGGCCAUGGAGUCUAGAGAGGCCGCGGCGGCUCCAUUGACCCUGCCGUCGCCUUCGCUGGACAGCCAUAGGACGAACAUGCAUCCAGCUCUGGUUCCGGCUCCGCUUCGGGUUCCCCAAGAUGGCGAAUCCAGCUGCGAUUCCGGAGCUUCACUGCUGCCGGCAGGUGUGCGUCUCCCUUCGUCCGAACGAUGGUGGUGGGACGGACCCUUAGCUUCGCAGCUCCGCUAUGCGUGACCGCUUUUCCCCAUGCAACGGCUGCAGGGUGGCCAAGGGCACACGGACUGUGAGCGUACGGUGCGAGCAGCGGCAGGAAGACAUACUGGUGGCGACGAAUCAGUGGUGCAAGCCACAAGAAUCACUGCAGUAUGCUCGCUUUCGUCGAUUGAUGCUCCGGCGGCCGGAAUUGAGGAGGACAUGCGGUGGCUCUAGCUUCACGGGAAAGAGAGUAGAAGGGGAUCGUAUAGUAGGUGCGACAGUGCUGAGAAAGGGAUUAAAGUGAAAAAGAUCAGGACUGCUUUUCACGUGCGUCCAUAUUGUCCUCUUCGUGCCUGUGCAUGAGAGAAACGGAUCAGGACUUCGCCCGUCUACCCUGUGUACAUGACUAUUAUUAAAUCUAUUUCAUAAAUAUUUGCAACA